rnacentral:rRNA from 1 species
AAUAGAUACCCGGGUAGUCCACGCCGUAAACGAUGGAUGCUAGCUGUUAGGAGUAUCGACCCUUCUAGUAGCGAAGCUAACGCGUUAAGCAUCCCGCCUGGGGAGUACGAACGCAAGUUUAAAACUCAAAGGAAUUGACGGGGACCCGCACAAGUGGUGGAGCGUGUUCUUUAAUUCGAAGCUAAGCGAAGAACCUUACCAGGGCUUGACAUCCUUGGAAUCUUUCCGAAAGGAGAGAGUACUUUAUUGGACCAAGUGACAGGUGUUGCAUGGCCGUCGUCAGCUCGUGUCGUGAGAUGUUUGGUUAAGUCCAUUAACGAGCGCAACCCUUAUGAUUAGUUGAAUUUUUCUAAUCAGACUGCCUCGGUAACGGGGAGGAAGGAGGGGAUGAUGUCAGGUCAUUAUUACCCUUACGUCCUGGGCUAGAAACGCGCUACAAUGGCCGGUACAAAGGGCAGCCAACCCGGCGAGGGGGAGCAAAUCCCAUCAAAACCGGUCCCAGUUCGGAUUGCAGGCUGAAACUCGCCUGCAUGAAGCCGGAAUCACUAGUAAUCGUAGGUC